GAGGUGGUGCCCAUGCAGGACUUUUCUCAGGAUCCUUGUGGGAGCCCCUUCUGAACUCCUCAGCAGGUUCUUUACCCACUUCUAAGGAGAGGUAUCCCCAAGGUUCAUCCCUCAGCUCUCUGUCCUUCUCACUCAACAUGCCUGGCCCUUUCCUGGUCAGUCCCUGAGCCCCAGAUGUGCCUUCUGGUAGCUUCUUCAGUUGGGGGCUGGGUCCUCAGGUCUCUAUUCUCCCACCCUCAGGCCUCACUCCUGAACCCAGACCACUGGAUCCAACUGUCUGUUGAAUAUCUAUCUAGACCUCAAAAUCAACAUGAGUGAAGUCAAGACUCACAGCCCUCCCCAGACCAGCUCCUCCUCCCCAGAUUCCAUCUUCCACAGAUCAGCACCACCAUCUUCCAACUGUCAAGGACAGGAUGAGAAAACACAAGGAAAACAAAGUUGGAGAGUUCGUAUGAAGACAUGGGAAGCAUGUGCAUCCAGUCUGCAGAUGACUCAACGCUGGAGGGGAUGAGAGAAUUAAGGUUCAAGAUGAGCUCGACAGUCGAGAAUGCUGGGUCAAAAGCAACCAGAUGAAAUUUAACAUCAAUAAAUCUAACGUCUUGAAUGCCGUUUCCAAAAAUCAAUUGCACAAGAACAGGAUGAGGGAGACCUGGCCUGACUGCAACUCACAUAAAAAAG
rnacentral:lncRNA from 1 species